UCUAGCGGUGACCAGCAACUGUUGUGCAAUGAUGUACAUUAGGGUGGGGAAGAAUAUUGCUUCCUGCAAGUGAUCGCUGUUCAGCCUGAAGCAUUGCAUUUGACAACCCUUCUCUGUGCCUGAAUAACUUAACACAUUACUGAAAGUUAUCCAGACCCCAUUUCUCACUCAGCCCUGAGUGCCACAGGCUGCCUCUAUGAUCUGGGAUGUUUUAUUUUUACUCCCACACAAAACCAUCAUGAAGUUAGUGUCACGGUGGCUCAACUUGUAUUUCCCUGAUGUGCCACAAACACAAAAAAUCAAGCAAGUUGUUUCACUGAGGCAAUAUUCACACCCAGCCCAGCACCAUUCUCCAAGCAUUCGCCCUCUCCUGUCACAAACUUCCCACCUCCCAACACCUUCUGUAGCACAAUCACUUUUAAUUCAACAACGUUGUCACUUGAGCACACACAUCAAAAGAACCAAAAACCACACUGCCUAACCCCUCGAGGCGUGUCAAUCACAGAUGGGCAAACCUAUUUGGAUACACAGUGAAACAAUCUGGCUCCUGGCCUGCCCACCAAUUAACAUAACCAAAUUCUAUGGUUUGGUUAAGCCUCUUCUACUCACUUCCCUCCCACAGGAGGCAAAAUAUAAGUUUCUGGAGGAUCCUUAUUCUGAACUUCCUGAUUUCAGUGCAGAUAACAUCACAACCUCAGCAUUACUGUAACGGUUGGUUGAAUUUAAGAGGGUCCCUCUGUCAAAGGAACAUCUAUGACAGUUACCAGCAGAGAUUAUAACCCACGAGAGCAUCUGUGAUAGAAGAAACAUAGAGACUGGCUUGGCCUCCUUCCAUUCCACCUAACUCAGGUCCUCGGUGAAAUGCUGCUUCGUCUGAAAGCAGCUGGACUCAGGAUUUCAGGUGGAUUACCUGAUCUUCUGACUUUCAGGAUUUAUUUCCCUAUAAUAAGAUAAUUCACAUCUAAACAACUCCAUUCCUGCCUCUAACCUUCCAGGCAUUUGUUUGAAACUGCUGCCUGAGGAUAUACAGGUUGGAGAUCCUGGAAAAUACUUUCCACAGGGUAGAGUGGGGCUAACCACAUUAAUUACACAGACACACACAUACAUGGUAAAUCAUCCUUAUUUGCUGGCAGACAUUUGCUACUAAAUAAAGAACUAUAGGAUUUGUUCUGUUGGAUCAGAUCAAAGGUCCAUCAAGCUCUGUGUCCUCCUGAUGUUACAGAGGAAGGUAGAAAAAAAACCACAUACUUGGCUGGAUGUGCAAUGGGUGGAGCAGGGGAAAAAAACCCAUCUGAGCCCUGUCUAUGAUAACAAAAAGCAGAAGUCCCACCAUUUUCCUUAGGUUUGAGGACCUUGCGGAGGAAGAGACGGAUUGGCAGGUGAAGAGAUGGUGACACUUAGGAUGAGCCCAGGAUUUUCUGGGACUCUCCCUGGAUGCAUAAGAGAUUUCUUAUUUCUAGGAGUGCUGAAGAUGCAGCAUGUUCAUCCCAGCAGCAAGAGAAGCAGAGAGUCUAGAAUUUCACAUCACUCAAUGGUGACCCAUGUGGACCACUCAGUAAUGGAACUGAUGGGCUCUGAAGACAAUCCCACCCCAUCCUCCUUGGCUGGAAGUUCCCUCCUCCGUUCUGCUCGGUGAAUUGCUCUCUCUUCCAUGGCUAGAGAAUUAGGACCAAGGGGACAUGAGGAUUAGUAUAUGCGAGCUACAAGGCCACGGUAGCAGUUUGGGAACAGGAUGAAUGUGCAGUUCUGUCUCCAAACUCACACUCAAGCUUGGCUUGGCACAGUCAGUGUUGAGGAGCUCGGGUCCUGCCUGCUUUUCAGUCUGGCAGUGCAGUGGAGGACUUGUGGGAAGAGUUGGGAGUGCCUGACAUUGGUUAUGACUGACCCCAUGUGGCCACCUCUCAAAGCAACAUUGAUGGGCUCUGACAGGAGCCAUGUCCAGAGUUUCUGUAACACAGAACCUUUAAGAGAAGGAGGUAAAUGCAGAGAAUCUGUUCCUUUCCUCUUUCCAUCCCUAUGAGACACAUGGUGGCCUCAGUAAGAAGCUAUAUAUGUGGUCAGGGUAUGCUAAGGCAGAGGAUCUCUAACUGUGGUCCAAGCUCCAUUCAGAUGGUCCGUGGAUAGUUCCCUAUAAGGUGUACACCUGGGUGGCCACACACAAGAAAAUGAAAGGCCACCCACCACUGUAGGUGUGGCUCCACUAAUUAGGUGCCUGGACGCUGGAGAAGAUGCACAUAUACGGUGAGGUGGUGGCCUUGGGGGGGGAAUAGUGGGUAGGUGGAAGAGGGCAGUGGGGUGAGAAGAAGGGGUGGGGGGAAUUUGGGACGUGCAGGGCUGCAGUGGCCAGAGAAAGAGGCAACUUUCUCCAGCUCCAGGACUGCGGCUGCUGGAGAGAGACCCCCCCACCUCCUUCCCAGCAUCAGCUUGGGGGUUGCCGUGGCGGAGGAGAGAGGGCACAUCCAUCGCAUUAGAAAGCCUCUGCCAGCAGAGAAGAUAUCUCACAUUGGAAAUGAACCAUGCCUAGGUGGUCAGCUUCCACCCAUCAGAUCCAGGAGCACAAAAAGCCCUGGGGAUUCACGUAUUUGAGUGAACAACGGAUUUGAGACCAGAGAGGUGCAAUGUAGCUGAUUGAAGGGGAGCUGCAAUGGGAUCUCCAAGAGACCUGGACAGAUUGGCUGGUGAGAGAGGUAAAAUCCCAAGGGUUCAGUCCUGGAGAUGUUACUCAUGCAAGGAGCUUCUUUGGCUUACUCACAAGGACUUCAGGAUGGAGCUCUUCAUGUUAUUCUGACUCUUGGGGUCUCAUAGUGACAAGCAUCUCCAACCUACAAAGACGGAGAAGCACAAAGUGCUGCAGCAAGAGACUGAGGCCCAUAAGCAAAGCUGCCCAAGGGCUGCAUCAGCACCCACACUUCACAGAGAAGCCAGCAUUCAAUGUUUUUAGGUCUGGACUGUUGAGUUCCAUGGUAACAGCUGUGGCUUGCUCUGCCUCUUGCUUAGCCCUCCUCAGCCUUUGGUUUCCCUG